rnacentral:rRNA from 1 species
CUACCUACGGGGGGCAGCAGUGAGGAAUAUUGGUCAAUGGGCGAGAGCCUGAACCAGCCAAGUCGCGUGAGGGAAGACGGCCCUACGGGUUGUAAACCUCUUUUGUCAGGGAGCAAGAACGGAUACGUGUAUCCGAGCGAGAGUACCUGAAGAAAAAGCAUCGGCUAACUCCGUGCCAGCAGCCGCGGUAAUACGGAGGAUGCGAGCGUUAUCCGGAUUUAUUGGGUUUAAAGGGUGCGUAGGCGGCCUGUUAAGUUAGUGGUUAAAUGUCGGGGCUAAACCCCGGAUUGCCAUUAAAACCGGCG